GCUCUCGUAGUUCAGUGGAUAGAACAAGGGACUCCUAAGCCUUAGACGCAGGUUCAACUCCUGCCGAGAGCA
rnacentral:tRNA from 1 species